AACGAAACGCUGGCGGCGCGCCUAAUACAUGCAAGUCGAGCGAGAAGACGUAGCAAUACGUUUGUAAAGCGGCGAACGGGUGAGGAAUACAUGGGUAACCUACCCUCGAGUGGGGAAUAACUAGCCGAAAGGUUAGCUAAUACCGCGUACGCUCCUUGGACUUCGGUUCAGGGAGGAAAGCGAUACCGUGGGUAUCGCGCUCUUGGAUGGGGCUCAUGUCCUAUCAGCUUGUUGGUGAGGAACGGCUCACCAAGGCUUCGACGGGUAGCUGGUCUGAGAGGACGAUCAGCCACACUGGCACUGCGACACGGGCCAGACUCCUACGGGAGCAGCAGUAAGGAUAUUGCGCAAUGGGCGAAAGCCUGACGCAGCGACGCCGCGUGGGGGAUGGAAGGCCUGGCGGGUUUGUAAA
rnacentral:rRNA from 1 species